rnacentral:rRNA from 1 species
UACAGAGGUCUCAAGCGUUGUUCGGAAUUACUGGGCGUAAAGUGUGCGCAGGUGGCCGCGCAAGUCGAGUGUGAAAUCCCCGAGCUUAACUUGGGAAUUGCGCUCGAAACUACGUGGCUCGAGUGUGGCAGAGGAAGGUGGAAUUCCACGUGUAGCGGUGAAAUGCGUAGAGAUGUGGAGGAACACCGAUGGCGAAGGCAGCCUUCUGGGCCAACACUGACGCUCAUGCACGAAAGCGUGGGGAGCAAACAGG